UGGCUCAGGACGAACGCUGGCGGCGUGCCUAAUACAUGCAAGUCGAGCGGAAUGAUGAAGAAGCUUGCUUCUUCUGAUUUUAGCGGCGGACGGGUGAGUAACACGUGGGCAACCUACCUUGUAGAUUGGGAUAACUCCGGGAAACCGGGGCUAAUACCGAAUAAUCCAUUUUGCUUCAUGGCAAGAUGUUGAAAGGCGGCUUCGGCUGUCACUACGAGAUGGGCCCGCGGCGUAUUAGCUAGUUGGUAGGGUAAUGGCCUACCAAGGCGACGAUACGUAGCCGACCUGAGAGGGUGAUCGGCCACACUGGGACUGAGACACGGCCCAGACUCCUACGGGAGGCAGCAGUAGGGAAUCUUCCACAAUGGACGAAAGUCUGAUGGAGCAACGCCGCGUGAGUGAAGAAGGUUUUCGGAUCGUAAAACUCUGUUGUAAGGGAAGAACACGUACGAGAGUAACUGCUCGUACCUUGACCGGUACCUUAUUAGAAAGCCACGGCU
rnacentral:rRNA from 2 species